rnacentral:tmRNA from 1 species
GGGGAUGUUUUGGUUUUGACAGCAAAUUCAAUCGGAAGGUAAGCACGUAGAGCGUUGCGAAGCUGGCUCUAUAAUCCCGGAACGCAAGCCAUAACUGGCAACAACAACUAUGCACUCGCUGCGUAAUUAAGCUCUGCUUAAUCGCUUAAUCGCCGCCGGCAAGGUCGGCCGUGACGAGUAUCCCGCCUGACUUUAAUCCCGCUAUGUCAGACAAAUGGGGUAUCAUUCAAGCACGGAUGCUGACGUUCACUCCUCUAUGACGUCUCAAGAUAAGAGGAUAAGCUUUGAGUAGUCUGCCUGUAGGCAGCUCAAAGCCGAAAAACAAGAACAGGCUAAACGUGUAGAAAGCUUUUGGAUAGUUUGUUUGGACGGCGGUUCGAGUCCGCCCAUCUCCACAG